GUGAUGCGCCGCCCCACCGCUGCGCCCGCAAGGGCGGAGAGGAAAGUCCGGGCAACGCAGAGCACCCUGCUUCCUAACGGGAAGGACGGCGGCUGGGAACGGCCGCCGGACAGCCAGUGCCACAGAAAACUACCGCCGGGCGGUGGAAUGGUGAUUGGUGAACUAGUGAGUCAAUCGUCCAACGACACUCACCAUUUCACAAUUUCACCACCUCACCAUCCGGUAAGGGUGAAAAGGUGCGGUAAGAGCGCACCAGCGGGCGGGUGACCGUCCGGCUGGGUAAACCUCAGGGGUUGAAAGGCCAAAUAGGCCGGCAUGCCAGGCUUCGGCUUGGCAACGGGCGGCUCGUCCGGUCGGCGGGUAGGCUGAUGGAGCCCGCGCGCGAGUUCGGGCCUAGAUAAAUGGUGGGGCCGCUGCCGCAAGGGGGCGGACAGAACCCGGCUUACAGGCGCAUCACUGCG
rnacentral:RNase_P_RNA from 1 species